CCAGUGGUUGAACAGGAAGAAAGCUGUGAGGUGGUGUUUCCUCAACCACCUUCUUAAUUAUGAUUGUUUUUUCACUUACCUGGUGAGGAGGGGAGCUCUCGCUUCUGGUGCCAAGCAUCUGGCACGCACCGAGAGCCACCUGCUCCAGGGACAGCAGCGGGUGGGGAGUUUGACGCAGCACUACACCUGUCUGAGCAUAACUCAGGUGUCCUAAGGUGAGGACAGAAACCUCCUGUGGAGCAGAAGGGCAAAAGCUCGCUUGAUCUCAAUGUUCAGUACAAAUACAGAUCGUGGAAGCAGGGCCCCGCCAUCCUUCUGGCUUUUGGGGUUUUAAGCAGGAGGUGUCAGAAAAGUUACCACAGGGGUAAGUGACUUGUGGUGGCCAAGUGUUUGUAGCGCUGUUGCUUUUUGAUCGUUCAGUGUUGGCUCUUCCUGUCAGUGUGAAGCAGAAUUCACCGAGUGUAGGGUUGCUCACCUACUAAUAGGGAACAUGAGCUGGGAUUAGACCGUCGUGAGAUAGGUUGGGUUUGCCCUGCUGCUGAUGUGUUGCUGCUCUAGCAGGACGAGAGGAACCUCAGGUUCAGACCCCCAUUGCGUGUACUUGGCUGAGGAGCCCCCGGCAUGAGGCUACCAUCUGCAGGCGUGUGACUGACCGCCUCUAAGUCAGAAUCCUGCCUAGAGGCAGCAAUACAGCAGCGCUGCUGGGGCCUCGGUGGGCUCGCGAUAGCCAGCUGCGCCCCCUGCACAGGGCAAACCCAGUGUGGAGUGCCACUCAUGGUUGGAACUGGAAGGUUGGAGAGAUAUGUCGCCACCUCUUCCCUGGCAUGUACCGCGUAAUCGCUGGGCGCUUAACACCAAAUCAUUUGUAGACGAUCUGAUUGUGGGUCAGUGCUUUGAACGUAGCAGAGCAGCUCCCUCGCUCUGGUCUGUUGAGAAUCAGCCAUUGACACAAGCUUUU
rfam:Buceros rhinoceros silvestris contig8635, whole genome shotgun sequence.